rnacentral:tRNA from 1 species
GGGGAUUUAGCUCAGUGGUAGAGCGCUUGCCUCGCAAGUGCAAGGUCCUGGGUUCGGUCCCCAGCUCCG